UACGUAGGGUGCGAGCGUUGUCCGGAAUUAUUGGGCGUAAAGAGCGUGUAGGCGGCUUUACAGGUCCGUUGUGAAAACUCGAGGCUCAACCUCGAGACGCCGGUGGAAACCGUAAAGCUAGAGUCCGGAAGAGGAGAGUGGAAUUCCUGGUGUAGCGGUGAAAUGCGCAGAUAUCUGCAGGAACACCCGUGGCGAAGGCGGCUGGCUGGACCGCAACUGACGCUGAGGAACGAAAGCUAGGGGAGCAAACAGG
rnacentral:rRNA from 1 species